rnacentral:piRNA from 1 species
UCCCUGAAAAAUCUUCUGGCAGUAUUGC